rnacentral:rRNA from 1 species
CCUACGGGAGGCAGCAGUGGGGAAUCUUGCGCAAUGGGCGAAAGCCUGACGCAGCCAUGCCGCGUGAAUGAUGAAGGUCUUAGGAUUGUAAAAUUCUUUCACCGGGGACGAUAAUGACGGUACCCGGAGAAGAAGCCCCGGCUAACUUCGUGCCAGCAGCCGCGGUAAUACGAAGGGGGCUAGCGUUGCUCGGAAUUACUGGGCGUAAAGGGAGCGUAGGCGGAUAGUUUAGUCAGAGGUGAAAGCCCAGGGCUCAACCUUGGAAUUGCCUUUGAUACUGGCUAUCUUGAGUGUGGGAGAGGUAUGUGGAACUCCGAGUGUAGAGGUGAAAUUCGUAGAUAUUCGGAAGAACACCAGUGGCGAAGGCGACAUACUGGCCCAUUACUGACGCUGAGGCUCGAAAGCGUGGGGAGCAAACAGGAUUAGAUACCCUGGUAGUCCACGCUGUAAACGAUGAGUGCUAGUUGUCGGCAGGCAUGCCUGUCGGUGACGCAGCUAACGCAUUAAGCACUCCGCCUGGGGAGUACGGUCGCAAGAUUAAAACUCAAAUUGAAAUUGACGG